rnacentral:rRNA from 1 species
UAACGCGAAGAACCUUACCAAGGCUUGACAUCGCCCGGAAAGCAUCAGAGAUGGUGCCCCCCUUGUGGUCGGGUGACAGGUGGUGCAUGGCUGUCGUCAGCUCGUGUCGUGAGAUGUUGGGUUAAGUCCCGCAACGAGCGCAACCCUUGUUCUGUGUUGCCAGCAUGCCCUUCGGGGUGAUGGGGACUCACAGGAGACUGCCGGGGUCAACUCGGAGGAAGGUGGGGACGACGUCAAGUCAUCAUGCCCCUUAUGUCUUGGGCUGCACACGUGCUACAAUGGCAGGUACAAAGAGCUGCGAAGCCGCGAGGCGGAGCGAAUCUCAAAAAGCCUGUCUCAGUUCGGAUUGGGGUCUGCAACUCGACCCCAUGAAGUCGGAGUUGCUAGUAAUCGCAGAUCAGCAUUGCUGCGGUGAAUACGUUCCCGGGUCUUGUACACACCGA